rnacentral:pre_miRNA from 1 species
AUCACUUGGGAGUCUUGCUAAAAUACAGAUUCUGAUUUCAGUAAGCCUAUGGUGGGGCCCAAGAUUCUUUAUUUUUAACAAGUUCUCAGGUGGUGCCAA